rnacentral:rRNA from 1 species
CAAGACCUUGCGCUCUUGGAACGGCCGAUGUCUGAUUAGCUAGUUGGUGAGGUAAUGGCUUACCAAGGCGACGAUCAGUAGCUGGUCUGAGAGGACGACCAGCCACACUGGGACUGAGACACGGCCCAGACUCCUACGGGAGGCAGCAGUGGGGAAUUUUGGACAAUGGGGGAAACCCUGAUCCAGCCAUGCCGCGUGAGUGAAGAAGGCCUUCGGGUUGUAAAGCUCUUUCAGCCGGAACGAAACGGUCACGGCUAAUAUCCGUGACUACUGACGGUACCGGAAGAAGAAGCACCGGCUAACUACGUGCCAGCAGCCGCGGUAAUACGUAGGGUGCGAGCGUUAAUCGGAAUUACUGGGCGUAAAGCGUGCGCAGGCGGUUUUGUAAGUCAGACGUGAAAGCCCCGGGCUUAACCUGGGAAC